AAUUGGAGGGCAAGUCUGGUGCCAGCAGCCGCGGUAAUUCCAGCUCCAAUAGCGUAUAUUAAGGUUGUUGCAGUUAAAAAGCUCGUAGUUGAAUUUCGGGAUCAAUAUUUCGGUCAUGCCGUUGGUAUGCACUGUUAUCAUUGAUUUCUCACCUUCUAAAGAACCGUAAUGCCAUUAAUUUGGUGUUACGGGGAAUUAGGACUGUUACCUUGAAAAAAUUAGAGUGUUUAAAGCAGGCUCACGCUUGAAUACAUUAGCAUGGAAUAAUGAAAUAGGACAUCCGAUUCUAUUUUGUUGGUUUCUAGGAUCGAUGUAAUGAUUAAUAGGGAUAGUUGGGGGCAUUAGUAUUCAAUUGUCAGAGGUGAAAUUCUUGGAUUUAUUGAAGACUAACUACUGCGAAAGCAUUUGCCAAGGAUGUUUUCAUUAAUCAAGAACGAAAGUUAGGGGAUCGAAGACGAUCAGAUACCGUCGUAGUCUUAACCAUAAACUAUGCCGACUAGGGAUCGGAUGAUGUUAAUUUUUUAAUGACUCAUUCGGCGCCUUACGGGAAACCAAAGUGU
rnacentral:rRNA from 1 species